UGGGGGGGGGGGGGGGGCUUACACAUGGCACGUCGAACGAAGCGAGAACUAAAGCGCAAGCAGAGGUUCUUGACUGACCCGUUUGACGGGUGAGUAACGCGUGGAUAACCUGCCUUUCACCCGGGGAUAACAGCUGGAAACGGUUGCUAAUACCGCAUGAGCCUCUUUUGUCGCAUGACGGGAGAGGGAAAGAGACCUCGGUGAGAGAUGGAUCCGCGUCCGAUUAGCUAGUUGGAGGGGUAACAGCCCAUCAAGGCGACGAUCGGUAGCCGACCUGAGAGGGUGGACGGCCACAUUGGGACUGAGACACGGCCCAAACUCCUACGGGAGGCAGCAGUGGGGAAUAUUGCACAAUGGGGGAAACCCUGAUGCAGCAACGCCGCGUGAGUGAGGAAGUAUUUCGGUAUGUAAAGCUCUAUCAGCAGGGAAUAGAAAAGAAGGUACCUGAAAAAGAAGCCCCGGCUAACUACGUGCCAGCAGCCGCGGUAAUACGUAGGGGGCAAGCGUUAUCCGGAUUUACUGGGUGUAAAGGGAGCGUAGACGGAAAGGCAAGUCAGAAGUGAAAGCCCAAGGCUCAACCAUGGGACUGCUUUUGAAACUGUCAAACUAGAGUACGGGAGAAGUAAGAGGAAUUCCUAGUGUAGCGGUGAAAUGCGUAGAUAUUAGGAGGAACACCAGUGGCGAAGGCGUCUUACUGGACCGAAACUGACGUUGAAGCUCGAAUGCGUGGGGAGCAAAUAGGAUUAUAUACCCUGGUAGUCCCCGCGGUAAACGAUGAAUACUAAGUGUUGGGGUAAAGAAACCUCCGGUGCCGCACAAACGCAAUAAUUAAUUCCACCCUGGGGAGCACUUUCGUAAGAAUUGAAACUCAAAGGAAUUGACUGGGAACCGCCUAUCCGG
rnacentral:rRNA from 1 species